rnacentral:lncRNA from 1 species
UCUACCAGUGUAUUUCAUAAAUGCUUGACUUACUGCUUUCUUUGUUCAUGAAAAUGUCAUGAAACCGAUGCCACAUCGAGAGCCCUGCAUGGAGCAGCCCAAUCCUGUGCUCAAGAAUAAGCUAUCUCUUAUCUCUUAACACAUCAGAAAGUCGGGCCAGUAAUUCUGCUGUGGAAGAGGAGAGCCCCUCUGACUGAGGCCCCCUCCUCCCACAGGCCACCCAGAGCACGGGCCUCUUACCCACUGCACUGAUCAUGAAGCCUCUGACACUGUCACGUGUGUUGCACACAUGCUACCGUGCCCUUCCUGAUGAAACCCUGGAGACUCACCCAGCUGUUUCUCAGCCCCAGGGCUGGGUGGGUGGUUCUAGAUUUGUGUUGAUUUAUACUAACUGUAUAAAUAUACUCUGGCACUCGUAUCAUGGAAAAAAUGUAAUUUUGACAUAUGCAGUUGUAUUCAGUAAUAUGUGAAUUAAAACCAGUUCUAUCACUCCCCAAAA